AUUGAACGCUGGCGGCAGGCCUAACACAUGCAAGUCGAACGGUAACAGGAAGAAGCUUGCUUCUUUGCUGACGAGUGGCGGACGGGUGAGUAAUGUCUGGGAAACUGCCUGAUGGAGGGGGAUACCUACUGGAAACGGUAGCUAAUACCGCAUAACGUCGCAAGACCAAAGAGGGGGACCUUCGGGCCUCUUGCCAUCGGAUGUGCCCAGAUGGGAUUAGCUAGUAGGUGGGGUAACGGCUCACCUAGGCGACGAUCCCUAGCUGGUCUGAGAGGAUGACCAGCCACACUGGAACUGAGACACGGUCCAGACUCCUACGGGAGGCAGCAGUGGGGAAUAUUGCACAAUGGGCGCAAGCCUGAUGCAGCCAUGCCGCGUGUAUGAAGAAGGCCUUCGGGUUGUAAAGUACUUUCAGCGGGGAGGAAGGGAGUAAAGUUAAUACCUUUGCUCAUUGACGUUACCCGCAGAAGAAGCACCGGCUAACUCCGUG
rnacentral:rRNA from 1 species